rnacentral:rRNA from 1 species
GACGAACGCUGGCGGCGUGCCUAAUACAUGCAAGUAGGACGCAGUUGCGAACGGGUGAGUAACGCGUAGGUAACUACCUAUUAGAGGGGGAUAACUAUUGGAAACGAUAGCUAAUACCGCAUACUAGUAGAUGGACCUGCGUUGUAUUAGCUAGUAGGUAGGGUAAUGGCCUACCUAGGCAACGAUACAUAGCCGACCUGAGAGGGUGGUCGGCCACACUGGGACUGAGGCACGGCCCAGAGUACUACGGGAGGCAGCAGUAGAGAAUCUUCGGGAAGGGGGGGGGCCGUAACCGAGCGACGCCGCGUGAGUGAAGAGGGUUUUCGGGUCGUAAAGCUCUGUUGGUAAGGGGGCGGUACUUGACCAGAGGGGGACAGCUAACUACGUGCCAGCAGCCGCGGUAAUAC